AAAACUUUCAACAACGGAUCUCUUGGUUCUGGCAUCGAUGAAGAACGCAGCGAAAUGCGAUAAGUAAUGUGAAUUGCAGAAUUCAGUGAAUCAUCGAAUCUUUGAACGCACAUUGCGCCCGCUGGUAUUCUGGCGGGCAUGCCUGUCCGAGCGUCAUUUCAACCCUCAAGCCCCCGGGCUUGGUGUUGGGGAUCGGCGAGCCUCCGCGCCCGCCGUCCCCUAAAUCUAGUGGCGGUCUCGCUGUAGCUUCCUCUGCGUAGUAGCACACCUCGCACUGGGAAACAGCGCGGCCACGCCGUUAAACCCCCAACUUCUGAACGUUUGACCUCGGAUCAGGUAGGAAUACCCGCUGAACUUAAGCAUAUCAAUA
rnacentral:rRNA from 1 species